rnacentral:rRNA from 1 species
UACAGAGGUCUCAAGCGUUGUUCGGAUUCAUUGGGCGUAAAGGGUGCGUAGGCGGCGCGGUAAGUCGGGUGUGAAAUCUCGGAGCUUAACUCCGAAACUGCAUUCGAUACUGCCGUGCUUGAGGACUGGAGAGGAGACUGGAAUUUACGGUGUAGCGGUGAAAUGCGUAGAUAUCGGGAGGAACACCUGUGGCGAAAGCGGCGCACUGGACCACUUCUGACGCUGAGGCGCGAAAGCUAGGGGAGCAAACAGG